rnacentral:rRNA from 1 species
UGAGGAAUAUUGGGCAAUGCCCGCAAGGGUGACCCAGCAACGCCGCGUGGAGGAUGAAUGUCGUAAGAUUGUAAACUCCUGUUAGAGGGGAAGAAUAGUACCGGUUGGACCGGUAUAUGACUGUACCCUCAGAGAAAGCCCCGGCUAACUACGUGCCAGCAGCCGCGGUAAUACGUAGGCAGCGAGCGUUGUUCGGAGUUACUGGGCGUAAAGAGUGCGUAGGCGGCGAGCCAAGUUUGGUGUGAAAUCUCCCGGCUUAACCGGGAGGGUGCGCCGAAAACUGGUUGGCUGGAGUAUGGGAGAGGAAAGCGGAAUUCCUGGUGUAGCGGUGAAAUGCGUAGAUAUCAGGAGGAACACCUGCGGUGUAGACAGCUUUCUGGACCAAAACUGACGCUGAGGCACGAAAGCGUGGGUAGCAAACA